ACAAAAAAAAUCAAAAA
rnacentral:sRNA from 1 species